UACGUAGGGUGCGAGCGUUGUCCGGAAUUACUGGGCGUAAAGAGCUCGUAGGUGGUUUGUCGCGUUGUUCGUGAAAACUCACAGCUCAACUGUGGGCGUGCGGGCGAUACGGGCAGACUGGAGUACUGCAGGGGAGACUGGAAUUCCUGGUGUAGCGGUGGAAUGCGCAGAUAUCAGGAGGAACACCGAUUGCGAAGGCAGCUCGCUGGGACGUAACUGACGCUGAGACGCGAAAGCGUGGGGAGCAAACAGG
rnacentral:rRNA from 1 species